rnacentral:rRNA from 1 species
GAUGAACGCUGGCGGCGUGCUUAACACAUGCAAGUCGAACGGAAAGGCCCUGCUUGCAGGGUACUCGAGUGGCGAACGGGUGAGUAACACGUGGGUGAUCUGCCCUGUACUUUGGGAUAAGCCUGGGAAACUGAGUCUAAUACCGAAUAUGACAAUUGUUUGGAUGCGAUUGUGGAAAGCUUUUGCGGUAUGGGAUGAGCUCGCGGCCUAUCAGCUUGUUGGUGGGGUAAUGGCCUACCAAGGCGUCGACGGGUAGCCGGCCUGAGAGGGUGUACGGCCACAUUGGGACUGAGAUACGGCCCAGACUCCGACGGGAGGCAGCAGUGGGGAAUAUUGCACAAUGGGCGCAAGCCUGAUGCAGCGACGCCGCGUGGGGGAUGACGGCCUUCGGGUUGUAAACUCCUUUCGCAACCGACGAAGCCUUUUGGUGACGGUAGGUGGAGAAGAAGCACCGGCUAACUACGUG